rnacentral:rRNA from 1 species
UGGAUCCAGACUUUGAUCCUGGCUCAGGAUGAACGCUAGCUACAGGCUUAACACAUGCAAGUCGAGGGGAAACGAUAUUGGAAGCUUGCUUCCGAUAGGCGUCGACCGGCGCACGGGUGAGUAACGCGUAUCCAACCUGCCCACCACUUGGGGAUAACCUUGCGAAAGUAAGACUAAUACCCAAUGAUAUCUCUAGAAGGCAUCUGAAAGAGAUUAAAGCUUUAUCGGUGAUGGAUGGGGAUGCGUCUGAUUAGCUUGUUGGCGGGGUAACGGCCCACCAAGGCAACGAUCAGUAGGGGUUCUGAGAGGAAGGUCCCCCACAUUGGAACUGAGACACGGUCCAAACUCCUACGGGAGGCAGCAGUGAGGAAUAUUGGUCAAUGGACGAGAGUCUGAACCAGCCAAGUAGCGUGCAGGAUGACGGCCCUAUGGGUUGUAAACUGCUUUUAUAAGGGAAUAAAGUGAGUCUCGUGAGACUUUUUGCAUGUACCUUAUGAAUAAGGACCGGCUAAUUCCGUGCCAGCAGCCGCGGUAAUACGGAAGGUCCGGGCGUUAUCCGGAUUUAUUGGGUUUAAAGGGAGCGUAGGCCGGAGAUUAAGCGUGUUGUGAAAUGUAGACGCUCAACGUCUGCACUGCAGCGCGAACUGGUUUCCUUGAGUACGCACAAAGUGGGCGGAAUUCGUGGUGUAGCGGUGAAAUGCUUAGAUAUCACGAAGAACUCCGAUUGCGAAGGCAGCUCACUGGAGCGCAACUGACGCUGAAGCUCGAAAGUGCGGGUAUCGAACAGGAUUAGAUACCCUGGUAGUCCGCACGGUAAACGAUGGAUGCCCGCUGUUGGUCUGAAUAGGUCAGCGGCCAAGCGAAAGCAUUAAGCAUCCCACCUGGGGAGUACGCCGGCAACGGUGCAACUCAAAUGAAUUGACGGA